rnacentral:SRP_RNA from 1 species
GCUGGGCGCGGUGGCACGUGCCUACAGUCCCAGCUAUUUGAGAGGCUGAGGCAGGAGGACCGCCUGAGCCCAGGGGUUCUGGGCUGUAGUGCGCUAUGCCAAUCGGGUGUCCGCACUACGUUCGGCAUCAAUAUGGUGACCUCCCAGGUUGCCUAAGGAGGGGAGAAUCAGCCCAGGUGGGAAACGCAGCAGGUCAAAAGUCCUGUGCUGAUCAGUAGUGGGAUCGCGCCUGUGAAUAGCCACUGUGCUGCAGCCUGGGCGACACAGCAGACCCUGUCUCU